GUAUGGAGUGGCCUUAUCCCUGGUUGUGAUGUCAUUAUGCAGCACUGUAAAUUAUUACAAUCCUGUAGAAAAGGUAUCAUCUCUGUAUUUUUCAUGAUGUUUUUUUGGCCCAGGUUUCUUCUGUUUGCCCCAACCCUGGCCUCAAAUUCUAGUACUGAGUUCUCCUUGGAGCCUGAGAUGGAUGCUACUGGGGGAGUGAUCAAAUUCCACCUCUCAGAAAGAAUAAAGAAAAAAGAGGAUGAUAGCCUCUCCAGAGAGUCAUGGUGGCCACUUAGUGUUCCACUGGAGAUUCUAGCUAGGGGUACUGAAGAAAAAUUAGGGUCCAAAUUGGAAUGGGGAAGUAAAACUACUUCUGUUUACAGAUAACCCGUGUUUAUCAAUAGGAAAUCCUAAAGAAUGUGUAAUUUUUACCAAUUAUAGUAGAACCGAGAAGUUCAGCAACAUUGCUGAAUAUUAAGAGCAGCAUACAGAAAAUUACUGUGCAUCUGUAUGUUAGCAGUGGGCACUGCAAAAUAAUGUUUCUUGCAGUGCUAUCAGAAAAAAGUGAUUACAAUCUCACAUAUUUAGCAAAAGCAUUGUACGUCUUCUAUUACUGGAAAGUGUAUAUUAUUAAAAUUAGAUCAAAGCAAAUAGAAAGGCAUCACUUGUUCAUGAAUUGUAAAGAUUAAUAGUUCUAAAAUAGUAAUCUCCAGAUCACUCUGUGGAUUAAAUAGUUACCAGAAUCACUGCUUUCUUUCCUGCUGAAACUGACAGUCUUAAAGGAGCUAAGAAAAACCCAACCAAUCUUGAGAAGGAGUAAAGUUGUCAGAACCAACUUCCUAUUUUUAAAACUUACCAUAAAAUCACACUAAGACAGUAUAAUAUUAUCAUAAAAAUAUGCCGUAGUUGAAUGGUGUGGGAAGACUGGAAAUAAACUGUUACAUGUGUGCACAGUGAGCACAACAGCUCAGUGAAGAAAGGGUCACCUUUUCGAAAGGCGAUGGUUAGGUUUUUGAAUAUCCACAUGCACAUGCAUUGGACCCUACCUAUAACAAAAUCUAACAUGAGUUAUAGACCUAAAUGUAAAAGAUCAAGCUAUGAAAACACAGGACCUUAAUGUUAGACAGUAGUAUUUCAUUAAAGUACAAAU
rnacentral:lncRNA from 1 species